rnacentral:rRNA from 1 species
AUUGAACGCUGGCGGCAUGCUUUACACAUGCAAGUCGAACGGUAACAGGCCGCAAGGUGCUGACGAGUGGCGAACGGGUGAGUAAUGCAUCGGAACGUGCCCAGUCGUGGGGGAUAACGCAGCGAAAACUGCGCUAAUACCGCAUACGAUCUAUGGAUGAAAGCGGGGGACCGUAAAGCCUCGCGCGAUUGGAGCGGCCGAUGUCAGAUUAGGUAGUUGGUGGGGUAAAGGCUCACCAAGCCAACGAUCUGUAGCUGGUCUGAGAGGACGACCAGCCACACUGGGACUGAGACACGGCCCAGACUCCUACGGGAGGCAGCAGUGGGGAAUUUUGGACAAUGGGCGCAAGCCUGAUCCAGCAAUGCCGCGUGCAGGAAGAAGGCCUUCGGGUUGUAAACUGCUUUUGUACGGAACGAAACGGUCCUGGUUAAUACCUGGGGCUAAUGACGGUACCGUAAGAAUAAGCACCGGCUAACUACGUGCCAGCCGCCGCCAGUAACAC